rnacentral:lncRNA from 1 species
UUUGGGAAGCUUUCAAAUUCAUAGCAUGCCGGUGGCUGUGUUCAAAGUGCUGGGUUUUUUUUAUCACCCUCGUUGUUUGCGGACUAACGAUUUAGGCCUGUGGUGGAUAAUAGUGUUCGUGCAUUAAUUUUCUAUACCUUCUCAAUUAAUAUUUUCAAAUACUGACGGCAAGUGUUGUAAUGUAUCAGUGUCUUACUUGAGACCAACGUGCUAUUUACAUGUGCGAUCGAAAAUGCAGGGGAAGGAAACUUGUCAAUUGUGUUUAUUUUUAAUCCAAAAUAAAAUAAGCCGCCGUAAAAUUAACCUUGGG